UCAUUGACAUUCUGCUUUUAUCAUGUUGCAUCCCUCGAACUUUACAAAAGAAUGGAUAUCUUAUGCUUCAGAAUGGUAAUGUGAUAGAGAUCUAGUGUGACAAGAUGUGAAUACAUGUCUUGAGAAGUUUAAAGCUUCCAUUUGCUACGAGGUAAUGUAGUAUGUGCUUUAAGAGAGUAACAAUUUGUUUUACUCCUGCAAUUUUUGCACAAAUUUAACAAGCUUCCCAACCGUAAAUUUAUAUUCAUUAGUCAAAUUUGAUAAUGUUGAAAGCACAUAUUUAACUUCCAUUAAACCAUUUUCGUUUUGGCAUUUUCGAGGCAUACACUACGGAGUUGGAAGAAGAAGUUGCAAAACUGAAGGAAGAAAACCAAGAAUUGCGAAUGAAACUGAAAUGAAGGAAAUGCAGAGGAACCAGAAAGCCAUUUCUCCUAUAACGCAGCAGAAGCAGAAAACAGCGAUCACAAAAAUGCCAGUAGAAAUCUGCAUUCCUGGAAAGAAAACUCCAAGAGGACUUUGUUAUUGUAAACUUUACUAAUACUAAAUAGGCAAAUAGGGGCAAGAGAACUUAACAAGCAACCUCAUUUCUCCAUUUAUAAUUAUAAUUAGUAUUAUUAUUUUGCAUUCCGACUCAUUCAGAAUUUUCUCUCAAACUACAUGUGCAGACUUGCAGAAAUUAAGUCGGGAAUUUUUGAAGUGUCCAACUAAUUAAUGAAUUAGUUUCCUUGA